rnacentral:snRNA from 1 species
AUAUUUAGUGCAUUUAUAUUUGACAAAAUUAAAGAAAACGAGAACAGUAGGGUGGCCUCUGCACAAGGAGAACAUGCAAAUUUGUGAAGUGUCCAUAGUUUUA